rnacentral:rRNA from 1 species
UAUUGGACAAUGGGGGCAACCCUGAUCCAGCCAUGCCGCGUGAGUGAAGAAGGCCUUCGGGUUGUAAAGCUCUUUCGACGGGGACGAUGAUGACGGUACCCGUAUAAGAAGCCCCGGCUAACCUCGUGCCAGCAGCCGCGGUAAUACGAAGGGGGCUAGCGUUGUUCGGAAUUACUGGGCGAAAGCGCGCGUAGGCGGUGCAUCAUGUCAGAGGUAAAUCCCGAGCUCAACUCCGAACUGCCUUUAAACGGGUGCGCAGAUCCAGGAGAUGGCGAAUUCCAGUGAAGGUAAAUUCGAGUUAGAAGACACCGGUGGCGAGCGCCAUCUGGCUCGGUUAGCGUCACCAGAUCAGUCUG